ensembl:lncRNA
GCUAUAUAAGUCUUCACUGUCGGGCUAAGAGAGAUUCCCUGGUCUACAGUCUUGUUGCUGUUUGGAUGUGUGGCUCCUCUGUGUAACCAAGGUGUCAGACUGAUUGCCAGACGCUUCCGGGUAGUCGUGCGGUGUACUACCGAAGGUCUCGGGCAAGGCACCUGCUGGGUAGCUGUACCACCAUUAAGACGCAAUAUCUAAAAGAGUAUUAAAGCAGCUGUUCAUAGGAGAGGUUCCUGGGUCCGUCUUCGUGCACUGCACCUCGUAUUGUAGUGGUAAACUGCACCUCAUAAUAUUGAUUGAAUCACUUGUUUGUAGUGGUUGUGCCUAUGUGUGUGCGUGGUGUGUGUAUGCUUUUGACUGUAGGCACCAGAGUUUAGAGCACGGUUGGUGAACUGCACGUUUAUCCCGGACAGGUAACCUACCUUGACAGCGAAUUGAUAUGGUCCUGUUACACUGCUAAUCAUAGUGUCUCUGGUAGCAGCCAAUACCAGUUCUGGUCUCUCUCUGUAGGCCAAGUCUUUUUGGUUGCAACUACUGUUUGACGGUGUGGCUCUUUUAAUUAUACUAUCUAUUAAUAAAGUUUUUUUUUUUACUGAAAGCA